UACGAAGGGAGCUAGCGUUGUUCGGAAUUACUGGGCGUAAAGGGCGCGCAGGCGGCUGCUCAAGUCAGGCGUGAAAGGCCUGGGCUCAACCCGGGAAUUGCGCUUGAGACUGGGCUGGCUUGAGUGCGGGAGAGGAUGGUGGAAUUCCCAGUGUAGAGGUGAAAUUCGUAGAUAUUGGGAAGAACACCGGUGGCGAAGGCGGCCAUCUGGACCGCAACUGACGCUGAGGCGCGAAAGCGUGGGGAGCAAACAGG
rnacentral:rRNA from 1 species